CAGCCCCCCAAAUUUCACAGACCUCGCCUCCCAAAUCUUCGCCGACUCCACCCGCCCUGAGAUCACCUCCGCGGGCGCCGCCAUCCCCAACAAGCCACUGCCGCACGAGUCAAGGCCGUUAAGCUAGAACCACCGUUCAUUCACCAUUCCAGGUGUCCACACAGACAAGGCCGUCGCUCCGAACACGCCUAGCCCUAGUCUGGUUUUCCUCAAAAACCCUAGCUAUGUUUGCCCCGAACACGCCUCUCGCAACCGUCUCUGGUGCGUGUUCUGUGAUUCCGACGUUGUUGAGACCUCCAGCUCUUUCGCAUGGAUAUACAAGGCUGGAACUAUCACUUUACCAAAGUCACAUGGCUUUUGAGAUAACAAGGAGAGAAGGAGAUAGAGAAUACCCCUAAGAGAGCAGUGAGAGCAGCACGCAGUUCAGUCUUCACUGAGUGGCAGACAUCGAGAUUUUCAUCUGUUGACCUCACAGCUGUCCACACUCUUUCCGAUAUACCAGGACCCAAAUCAGGUUUGAUUGUACUAACCCACUCACCAUGAUUAUUCUUGAAUUCGUACCUAUAAAGGCAAUUGACGGAGGAGUAAACACACAAUGAAAAACGGUCUUAUUCAAGUCAGAAUAAGAAACAAAAAGAUCGAUCCCAAAUAAGACUACUUCAUAAGGUUCACCUUUCAAGCCGCCUAUAGGCACUUGAGAGAGCAGCCAAGGGCGCAACAUUAUAUUCUUGAUUCUCCAGUCUGUCGCCCUUGAAAUGCUUCAAAGUCGGAACGUUGUCUUUAACAUAGUCCCCAAGGCACGCAUACUUUACAAUGUGACCUGCAUCACCAAAUUGGUGAUGUAAAUCAAAGCAGAAUGCAAUUAAUAGUGAUGAAGACUUGUCGAACGGUUGUUCAUUGCAUCCAUGCACAAGUGAGAUUUGCUUUAUCAAUCAAAGCCCAUUAGGAAACAACAUGGAACCUAUGCCCUUGGCAGCUAGAGUAAAACUACAUACGCCAACGAUUUGUACACAUUUUGCCUACAUACUUACCACCAAAUAGCUUCUCCACCGAUUUAACAAGGACUGAAGUUACUCGAUGACUUGGGAUGCUUAGAAGCGGGAAACAAUCUUCUGCAAUAGUGAUGUGAGUAGGUUUCACAGGUUCCACCUCAGGCAACUGCAAUAAUACCCGUCCGACUCGGUUCAGGAUGUCAGCAUCCCUAGCAAACCACCCUGAAUAACAAGUGCUCGACUAUGAAUUAUGUACUGAUUAAAAAAGUACUAGAGGUUACCAAUAGCAUCUUCACAAGUACUGUAAACCAAUCAGACAAUAAACAGAAUGGAAUGGACACAAGAGUGCCACAAAAUCUUAACAUUGGUAUGGACACAACAGCCCAGCUAUUAUAAUGAUUUUCUCGUACUUCCUGUCCAGAUUGGGAGUCAUUCUCAUUCAAAAUAACAAUGCAUCUACACUAAUGAAUUUUUGUGAUAAAUGGCGUUGCUUAACAAAGUCACAGGUUUGGAUUCAAUGGUCUGACAAAUGGCUAUCAUGGUAGAUUUUACAAUGGAUUGUGAAUGUUCUUUACACGUCACUACGAGAAAAACAGGGACUAACGGCGUUCCGGAAACGGCGUUAACAACAAUGCCAUUAGAUGUUUGACUUAUCGGUGUUGCAAAAGCUUCGGGUAAGUUUCCUACUACAUUACACCAGUCACUAACGGAGGUUUCCUACUACAUAACGCCAGUCACUAACGGAGGACACGCGUAAACCCAUUCCAUCCUUCAAACAGAACCUCAACCCCACUCCUCCCUCCCGAUCAAGAACUCUGAACUUCACUCCUCCCUCUCUCGAUCGAGAAAUCUGAAGAACGAGAGGUUUUCAUCGAGAGGAAUCUCUUUCGUCAGGAAGAUGUAGAUGCAAUUGAAACUCAGACCAAAGCUUUUGCUUCUCGUUCAUCAGGAAAGUUUGAAGUGCUACAGGUUUAGAGCUUCACAGUCGACCAUUUCCUGGAGAGCUACUUCCUCCAGCCACAGGCUUCUAGGUCUAUCUUGUAACGAGUCCCUGCAAGAUAAGGCCAAAAAGCCUUUGUGGUAUUCAAUGUAUAUGCUUCCUUACCGACAGUGUCGAGACUUUGUGCCAAAGGGAUGACCCCAGUGGUUGAAACAACACCAUGAGAAGGCCGAAACCCUAAAAUCCCACAGUACGAUGCCGGAACUCUUACACUUCCUCCAGUAUCGGUGCCUGUGACAAAGGAAACCUUUUGGUCCAGCUUAUGAAGCAUAAGUAGAAAAACAACAAGCUUAUAAUUAAGGCACAACUCACCCAAGGAGAAAUCUACCAGCAUUCCAGCAACUGCAACGGCUGAUCCACUUGAAGAUCCUCCAGGCAACCGAUCUGGUGAACAGAUAUUUUUUGGCGUCCCAUAAUGCUUGUUUUCUCCAUUUAUACUGCCCCAAAACAUGUAUUUCAGUUAAAGUUUUACAAUCAGAAGAGAACUCUAAAGAUCCUUGUGUCAAAAACUUAUUUAAGAAGAUGCUGAAGACAAGAUAUCUUUAACCAACUUUGAAACUUGGCUAAUGAAGUGUCUUGGGUGAUGAGGAAAUUGCUGAAUCUGAGAGGUUUAUGCCAGGGCUGGAUCAAGUAUAUUAUUGGAAAUGGAGAGGAUACUUUCCUUUGGACUGAUAAUUGGCAUCCUUUGGGAGCCUUAUACCAGACUUUUGGAGAAGAUGUGGUGGUUAAUAGGGGGAAUGCUUUACAGGCUUUAUACUAUGGUUCAAGGCUGUUGGAAGUGGCCAAGACAAAUGAGUAGAACAAUUCUCCACUGAUAAUUGGCAUCCUUUGGGAGCCUUAUACCAGACUUUUGGAGAAGAUGUGGUGGUUAAUAGGGGGAAUGCUUUACAGGCUUUAUACUAUGGUUCAAGGCUGUUGGAAGUGGCCAAGACAAAUGAGUAGAACAAUUCUCCAGAUCAUGCGUCACACUCCUGCAGGUUUUCUCCCAAAUCCUACUCUAUGUGAUAGGGUUGUGUGGACCUUAUCUGCUGAUGGGCUUUUCUCUGAGAAGACAGCUUGGGAGGCUUGUAGACAUAGAAACCCUUUUCAACCUUGGCAUGGCAUUAGCUGGUUUACUCAAGGGGUUCCUAGAUGGAGUUUUAUUGCAUGGCUUGCUGUUUGGGGUAGACUAGCAACUAAAGAUAGAUUGGGGAGCUGGGGUUUGGCUGUUACUCCACAGUGUGUGCUCUGUGGGGAUGCGGUUGAGUCCCUUGCCCAUCUCUUUUUUGAAUGUUCUUUUGCCUCUGAAGUGUGGAAACAAGUUUUGGUAAGGAAUGGCCUGGUUGGGAAUGUUUUGCCUUUGUCUCAAGAGCUUGAUUGGGCUGUGCAGAAUAGAAGUGCGAAAGGUUUGAGAAAUGCAGUUUAUAAACUCUCACGAGUUGCUAUCAUCUAUAGCUUUGUGGAGAGAGCGUAAUUUGAGAGUUUUUCAGCAAAAGAGCCGUGGUGUGGCUGAUCUUGCUGGGGUUAUUUUUGAUGGUGUCAGGGCAAAGUUGAGCUCUUGGUCUUCAGUAAAGUACACUGCAUGCAAUUGGCGGGUUUUGCGAUGAUUGGCUUUUGGAUUCUCGUAUUUUUGGUGUAAACAAUUGUUAGAUAGGUUACCUUUCUUUGUCUUUUGACAUUGAGCUGAGCUUUAUUGUUCUGUUUUUCCUGGGGUAUGCCCCUGUGGAUUGUAGCUUCUUUGCGUGUUUGGUAUAAAUGAAUUUACUUACCAAAAAAAGAAA